rnacentral:rRNA from 1 species
GAUGAACGCUGGCGGCGUGCCUAAUACAUGCAAGUAGAACGCUGAAGGAGGAGCUUGCUCUUCUGGAUGAGUUGCGAACGGGUGAGUAACGCGUAGGUAACCUGCCUGGUAGCGGGGGAUAACUAUUGGAAACGAUAGCUAAUACCGCAUGACAACAGUUAUUGCAUGAUAACUGUUUAAAAGGGGCAACUGCUCCACUACCAGAUGGACCUGCGUUGUAUUUGCUAGUUGGUGAGGUAACGGAUCACCAAGGCGACGAUACAUAGCCGACCUGAGAGGGUGAGCAGCCACACUGGGACUGAGACAGGGCACAGACGGCCACGGGAGGGAGCAAUAGGGAAUCUGCGGCAAGCGACGGAAGUCUGACCGAGCAAGGCCGAGUGAGUGAAGAAGGUUGUCGGAUCGUAAAGCUCUGUUGUAAGAGAAGAACGAGUGUGAGAGUGGAAAGUACACACUGUGACGGUAACGUACCAGAAAGGGACGGCUAACUACGUG